rnacentral:misc_RNA from 1 species
UAGGGAGACCUACUUCUGGAGAAGUGCAAAUCCCAACAAAAAAAGCACUCACAGAAGUCAUCCCAGGUCGGUCGAGAAGAAUGAGUCAAACAAAAGCUUUCAAACUCCCAAGUCCGGUUCAAAAAGCAGGAUAAUUCAGCACCUUAGCUGUUAGAAAACAGCAAGACUGCUGGAGAGGAUUCCAGCCAGAACCUUGAAAAUUGCAGAGAAAGAAAAAACUGGUAGUAGUUCGUAGUUAGAACUCAAGCUCAGGGAAAGGAAACAGACCCAAAAGCAAAAGAACUAACCACA